CUUUGAAAGAUAAACGGUUCAGAUAAUCAACUGUGCCAGUUCCGACAUUUCCAUGAGGCAUAAGCUUGGGGCAUCGUGUUUGCCUUGCGGUGAGCUUCUCUGCUCCACAUCUACAGGCUUCCGGAACCUGAGAGAGCUUGUUCCUGGCUAAGGCACUCUCCCCUGCGGCUCCCCUGCUCGGUGCUCCUGCUGCGGCUGAGGGAAACGCGGCUGCCAGCGCACCUUCCCAGGCAAGAAAAGCUCAACCGCGGCUGGUUCAGAACUAGAGAUGUUUCUGUCAGCACCUUCCCGAAUUUCCACCUCUCUCCAAGGUCACCUUGGCAGCACCAGAAGAGAGGAACCAAAAGAUCCCAGAGAGGGUGAGGGGAUAUAUUCAGGUGCACACACCUGCUUUCAAAAAGGAGGAUUUAAAAGAGCUUCCAUUGGAAGUCAUCCUGCAAACUGGAUUUUUUCGGACCUUCUUUCCCUGGAAGGAUCAACUGAACUUUAAACUGAGCCGAGGAUACAAACCGGAGAUUUGGAUCCACUUUUCCCCGAGGAAACGUUUGAGCUUCAUACUGAGCAAGGUAUUCAUCUGCACAACAGUGUUUCUCCGUUCAUCCACAAACAACUGCAUUCUGGGUAACCCUGUCCACCCUCCUCCGUAUGAGACAAACACUGGAGCACAUUCCUCACCUGUUGGAGUCUAAGAGUAAACCUGAUCUCUGGAAACUUCCGGUUGAACAGUGAUCAGAGCAACACUGGAACCUCCACAAAACCUCUCAAUAAACCUGUUAAACUUUUUCCCUUGUCUCUCUGGACUGGUUUACCUACAUGUGGCUCUGAGCUCUUGAUGAAAUCAUGACAGCAGGUCUUUUAAAAAAUUUGUGAAAAUCAUUCUCUAUACCUUUAAAUCCAGUUCUGGAUUGGAUACGGGCCUUUUAAAAGCUGGCUGUAUAUCUGGGAACCAACGAACUCUACAAUUUCUACUUCUAACUUUUAAGCAAAUAGAGGAGCAAAUAUAUCUGUAACAUCAUUGAAAAGAAUUUGCCCCUUGCAAAUGUCUCCUGUUUCAUUUCUUUUUCUUUUUAGACUUUGAAA